rnacentral:lncRNA from 1 species
AAUAUAUAUAUUAUAUUAUACAUGCGUAAGUAAUAAUUAUGUUUUUAUAUUAUAUUAUUAUUAAUAUAUUAUAUUAUAUUAUAUUAUAUUAUAUUAUAUUAUUAUUAUAUAUAUAUGACAAAGAAAGAAAGAAAAGAAACAGAGAGCAAAACAAAACAGAGAAGGGAGAAAGAAAGAAACAGAGAGCAAAACGAAACAAAGAAGGAAGGAAGGAAAGAAAGAAAGAAAAGAAAAGAAAAAGGAAAAUUUGGGGUUUUAAGGUUCAAAGUAAUUUGGUAAGUCAAUUUAAUCCCAUUUUCUCUUAAUUUUGAUAUUUUUUUGAAAUCCUAGAACAAAAUACUACUUGAUUAAGUUGAAAUUUUGGAAGUUAGUAGAUUAUUAAGCAUGGUUCAUGUUGAAUAAAUUGUUAAAUUAGGGAUGUAUUUGAUAGAAAUUUUGAUUGGAAUUGAAUAAAGGAUUGAAUUGUAAACUAAACUAUAAGUUUUGAAUUUUAGGGAUUAAUUUGAAAUAAAUUCGGAAUUAUGAAAACAUGAUAAAAAUUAAAUAGUUAAAUAUGAGUUUAGCAAGAAAUUGGGUAGAAUAAGGGUAUGAAUUGAGAAAGAAAAAUAUAUAGGUUUAGUUAGGGGUUAAAUUGAUUUAAUUUCAAGUUAGAAGUUAGUAAAGAACGUAAUUGUAAAAUAAAAUAUAAGUUUUGAAUCGAUAGGGAUUAAAUUGAAAGAAUCCCGAAAUUAGGGAUUUAUGGUGAAAUUGAGGAAUUAAAUUGACUUUAUAAUAAGAAUUAAGAGAGAAUAUAGAGUUAGAUUGGGAAAAAUAAAAUUAGUAUUGAUAAGGGAUUAAAUUAGAAUUUGAUGUUGCCAUAGAAGGGAAAAAUGUUCAGAAUGUUAUAAAACAUAAGAAUAAGAGAUGAAGUUUAAUUUCCGAGCCUUGGGGAAAAAUGUAAUUAUGUAAAAGUUUAGGGGUAAAAUUGUAAUUUUGAAAAAGUUAGAGUCGAGGGCUGUUUUGAUGAAUGUGAUUAUUAAAUAAGUUAAAUUUACUAUUUUAGAUCAAGAAGUACGAAACUCGAGGUUAGACAAAGAGAAGAAUAAAGUUGAAGACUAAGUUGGUGAAUUUGGCUAUAAUUGGUACCGAGGUAAGUUUACGGUAAAUAAAUGCAAUAUUUCAAUAUUUAUUAUUAAUGCUGUUAAUUUCCAGCAAUUAUGAAUUUAUUUUAUGAAUUUAUUUGAUGAUGAUCCAAGCAUGAAAUGAUAGAGAAUUAAAAUUUAAAAGUCCCGUUGAUACAUAAGGAUGGUACUGGAUACGAAUGUCAUGACAUUUGGGUAAAGAGAUCCCAUGUAAGACCAUGUCUGGGACAUGGCAUUGGCAUCCUUAAGAUCAUGAGAGGUCCCCUUAAGACCAUGUCUGGGACAUGGCAUGGGCACCGAGACGAGAGGUCCCAUGUAAGACCAUGUCUGGGACAUGGCGUUGGCACCGAGAUGAGAGGUCCCCUAUAAGACCAUGACUGGGACAUGGCAUGGGCACCAUCACGAGAACAUCCCAUGUAAGACCAUGUCUGGGACAUGGCUUUGGCAUGUUAUUAUCAGAAGAGACCCGAGUAUCCUUAUUAUUCCAAUGUAGCUCAACGGGCUUGUAAACGAAUCAUGUUCAUGAAAGUUCAGUUUAAAGCAUAAAUGGCAAGCUCAGGUAAGUUGUAAGACUUAAGAACUUAUUAUACUAUCAAUUGAUGUUCAACGAUGCAGCAAGGAUUGAGUAAGUUAUGCACACAAGUAUUCUAAGUAAACAAGUAAGAGAACUAGUAUGAGAUUAACUAAAGAGUAAACUAGAGAUAUAGACAUUGAGUUUAAUUAUUUAAGUUAAAUAUUGUUAUUUAUUUGCUAGUAAACUUACUAAGCUUUAUGCUUACUUCUUUUAUUUCUCUUUCUCUUAUAGUAUUGCAAAGCUACUUCAAGGAUCCUAAAGAAGUCGGAGAUCGUCCACACUAUCAACUACAACUGCUCGGUAUUUUAUAUCGAAACACGUUUGAGUUAUGGCAUGUAUAGGGAUUUAGUUAUUUUGUAUGUUUGUAAUGAUGAUUUUGCUAAUGAGUAAUGUGUAAGUAUUUGAUGAUGUAUGGUUAUUAAAAUGAUUAAGGAUGAAGGUGUUUGUUGUUAUGAAAGAUUAGGUGAUAAAUUAUGCAUGGAAAUCAUGAAAGGAUAAAAUUUUGCAAAGAAACAGAAUUCAGGCAGCAGAGUGACGUGAAUUUGAAAAAUCACUCAAGAUAGUAUAAAAUGAAUUAGAGGGUGAAUGAUAUAUGGAAUUAAAUAUUGUUGAGUCUAUUUUCAUGGAAAAAUUACGGUGUAGAAAAAGGAAAUUUAUAUUUUAAGAUAUGUGAAUUUUAGUAAGAUAAGGUCAGAACUGUUUUUGAAGUCCCCUGUUCUGAGUUUAGAAAAUAAUUAAAAAUUGUACAAAAAUGGUUAUGAGUUGAAAUUUACAUGCUUAGAUUUCUUAAUGAGUCUAUUUUCUGUAGAAACAAGUAAGAACUUUACAUGAAAAUCCUACAGUGAGAAAACUUAUUUUUAGUGACUAGAAGUCAGGGCAGUCAGGUGGUGAAACAGGGGAGACUUUAACUAAUAAACUGUACUAAUUUGCUAAACCAAAAAUUCUAAAAAUUUUAUGGUGAGUAGAUAUAUGAGUCUAGUUUCAGGGAAAAUUUACGGAAUUAAAUUUCGAGUUCUGUAGCUCAAGUUAUAAUUAAUUUAGUAACUGCUGCGCGAUUGGACAGAUUUGCUGCGAAUAAUGAAAUAAAUUUUCAAACCUAGUUUUUAUGCUCCGAAUUGGUAAGAUAAGCUAAGUAAUGCCUCGUGCUCGACUCCGGAAACGGUCUCGGGUAAGGGGUGUUACAGAUUUUCUGUUAUACGAACUUACUAAGCAUAAUAUGCUUACUCUGUUUUAUUUCCUCCGUUUUAUAGUACUUAGAAGCACAUGAAGGUUGGAACUUGGUAGAAUACAAAUCACACUAUCCCUCAGACAUCCCAGUAUAUAAAGCAAGCUAACUGUUGGUAUAAUGGCAUGUAUAAGCUAAGUAGGCAUAAUGAUGAAAUGUUUUGGUUG